UCCAAGAUUGCUGUUGGGUCCAGAGUUGCAUCAGACUUGGUGCCAAGAUGAUUUUUUUCAGAUUCUUGGAGCUGGCUCCAGCCACCCUGCAAGGGACAUGUUCUUCCCUUUAAGACAACCUUGAAAGGCCCUGCUGGUUCCUGGAAUUCUGUGCCUGGGAGACAACCUAUUCAUGGAAAGAAGAAUCUGCGUCCUCUGAGUUCAUGCUCUAAAAAAGGAAACAACAUUCUGUGAACACUCCAAAGAAUCACCAUAUUUCAUUGAAAGGAAGAUGGCAUCAACUGCAUGACACCAUUAGUUCAUGUGCCAACAAGAAAGAAGGAUGCUGCCACUUAGGCCUCAACAAUGAAUCUCAAUAUCAGAGAUAUGCAAAUUUAGGGGGAAGAUGCUUUUUUGGAAUUGGUUAAAUCGUUCUUAAAUGCC